rnacentral:lncRNA from 1 species
GGUUUUAAUUAAUUAUUGACCAAUUAAAAAUAAGGUGAGUGAUUAACUAAACCUACUGCAAAUGAAUUAGUUAGAUCACAAGAUGUAAUGAGUGAAGAGAGUGAAAGAGACAAGGUGCAAUACAACACAGAGAGAUUUAUAGUGGCUCGGAGCCAACUCUUGCUCCUACGUCCACUCCCCAAGCGGCACUUGGGAGUUCACUAUAAUUCCUAGGAUUACAGCCGGUUGUUUUACAAGCUCACAACCCAACUUGUUGUUUUCACGAGGUCACAACGAACUCGGUCGGUUUUGACAGGCUCACCGGCUAGAAUCACUCAAUUGUUUUUCCGGGUUCACAAUCAAAUCCAGUUGAUUUUUUCGGGUUCACCAACCACAACUUUAUACCGUUGGUUUUAUCUUUGGCUCACCAACAAACCUUACAACCCUUGAUUCAAUCAGGAGAUUGAAUCAAGUAUACAAAAUAAGAGUUUAAAGUUCACAAGAAGAAGCUUCUAAAAAAGCAAGUGUGAGACAAUAUAAACAAAGUUGAGUUAGAAGCCCUCAAACAGAUUUUAGAUGAGGAAGUGGGGGCUUCUCGAUUUCUGAGUCUCCUCUUGAAUGUGCCGAAGGAUGGAGGACAGUAGUAGAGGCUUGAAUGCGAAGGAAGCAUUUUUUGGUUUGAGUUGAAUGCACUUCUUCCUUCUUUUUCUUGGAUUCACUCUAUAGAAGCUCUUGCUGGUUGAAAUGCUUUAAUGCUCAAAUGGAAUAGCUCUCUUGUUGUCUACUACUGUUCACUCUGGCUAUUUAAGUGAUUCCUUUUGAAAAGUAGCCCUUAGAGAGUGAUUUGGAGCCGUUCUGUCCCGUCUGCACAUCCUAACAAUGCAUCCGUUGGGAUCGGAGUCGACUCAUGCGAUCUGGAGUCGACUCGGCUGUUACUGGAGUCGACUCGCGUUUUACUGGAGACGAUUCGCCCGCUGUUUCAGAUUUGAAUUAAAGUGCAUGCCUCGUCCUGGGGUCGACUCGGACCAAACUGGAGUCGACUUGUCAACAGCUGGAGACGACUCGGGCACUUGGGGGUCGGCUCGUUCUCAGGGUUCUAGAAACUCAACUUUCUGUUUUUCUUCCUCGACUCGACUUGGGUUUACUUGGAGUCGACUCGGCUGACUUGAGAGGUGACUCGAGAUCUUCGGGAGACGUCUCAUUCUCAGAGACCGCAAAAACUGAUUCUCUGUCUUUUGAGCUGUUCUGCAUCGAAGUCGACUCGGGCCUUGUUGGAGUCGACUCGUCUAAUCUUGAAGGUUGACUCUGAAACACUUGGAGUCGACUCGUUCACAGGGUCUCCGAAACUGAGUCUAUGCCUUUCAGACAGCUUUCAUCUGGGAGUCGACUCGGACAAACUUGGAAUCGACUCGCCAAGCAUCGGAGUCGACUCACAACCUUCUGGAGUCGACUCGGUAACAGGGUCUAAAAUCCAUCGUUCUGUCUUUCUGUUUGUUACCUUUUGGAGUCGACUCGGGACCAUCUGGAGUCGACUCGCCAAGCAUCGGAGUCGACUUGAAAUCUUUUGAAGUCGACUCGCUAACAGGGUCUAAAAUUCAUCAUUCUGUCUUUCUGUCUGUUAUCAGUUGGAGUCGACUCGGAGAGUUCCGGAGUCGACUCGAGCUUGUGCCAGAAACUUUAAGUGUCCCGAAGUCGACUCGCAAAGUUCCAGAGUCGACUCGUGAUGCAGACUUUGGUUCAAAUUGAGUCAAAUACUUAGCCAAAAUACUUUGAACCAAAGCUCGAGGCAUUUAAACAGAAAUUCAUAAUGAUUUGCCUGAAACACUAGAUUGAAUUCAUUAGAACAACAUAAGACAUACUCCAAUGCUUUGAGCUCAUCAAAAUCAAUUAGGGAAUACUCAAUCACUCCACAGAGGCCAAUAGAAGAGAUUGUCUGUAAUUUAGAUUGACAUUUUCUGCAUCGAUUUUUUACAUAUGAUAUUGAUAAAAAUUGAGUGUCAUUUGCAAAAACAAUCUCUAAAUAUUAUUGCAGGCAAUUAUUUUGAAACAUUGAGUGAGUGGUUUUGGUUGUGCAGGGACCUGAGCAAAAUGCACUGGGGAACUUGCUUGUGCUAUUCCUUCUAGGAGGUAUAUUCUCAGGAGUUGCACUUGAUUGGUUGUGGCUCAUAGGCAAAGGCUGGUGAUGCUGCAGCUCUUAGAACACUUGAAAUCUGGGGAUGACAGCUUAUUUAUUUGUAUAGAAUUAAUACAGUCUUUUUUAUGUUAUUUUUAUGAGUCCGACAUUAAAUUUCUGUAGUUCAAUGUCACAUGUGACUGGUGCAUGAUUUUUAUUUCUUCCUCAAAACAUGAAACAAAAAUGGAAGUGUUCUUUUGAGAUUCAUUGAGUUAAAAUUUUCAUGCUGUGUUUGACUUCAUAGCAUAUAUAGCAUUACUUCUUGUUUGAAUUUCUGCAGCUUGAUCGAACACACUAAAGAAAC